GGAGGUGGAAGUCAUUACUCAGAGACAUGGAUGGUUACGGCUUCUAAAGGGCUCUUAGGAGAUGAUCUGGGCCAGCUUUGUUUACAGAUGAGAAGUGAGACCCAGGGAGAGGAGCUGACUCAAAGAAGGUUCAACUCGACAUGAAUAAAACAACAGAUAUGGGACAAUAAGUUUUCUGGACUCCAGUCUUCUAUCUUCCUGCUAUCUCUAUGUUAUCACAUUCAACAGUUACAUCUGACACAUCUGUAAUGUCUUCUGAUUUUUGUGAAAUGUCGUCUUCAAACCUCUCUUCUGUGGAGACAAAGGAGCAUUCUCCAGCACUUGGGAGUCACAUUCUGAGCAGAAUCUACACUGGGAUUCAGAGGCAAAAGCUAGGAAGUGAAGAAGUCAAGUGGUAGGACUCAUG
ensembl:lncRNA